CUAUGUGAUCCAGACUUUGCAAGGAGCAAGCUGAGUUACACAGGCAGAAGGAGCAGGAGGUCAAAAGGAGACACCACAUGUCUGACCACCUCCCAGAAUCCUCUCUGGCAUCCAUCUUGGCUGAACAAGGCGUGCACCACCAGGAAGGACUCUGAGUCAGAAUGAUUGGCUAAGGACAACCCGGAAACUAAUCCCAUCACCAUAAAACCCCGAGACUGCGAGCCAUGUGACAGAGCUGUUCUCCUGGGUUCCCUGACCCUCCUGCUCUCCGCCCGGGUGCCCUUUCCCAAUAAAACCUCUUGCUUUGUCAGCA